CUACGUAGCUCAGAGUUUGAUCCUGGCUCAGGAUGAACGCUGGCGGCGUGCUUAACACAUGCAAGUCGAACGAAGCACUUAAGUGAAUCCCUUCGGGGCGAAGCUUUUGUGACUGAGUGGCGGACGGGUGAGUAACGCGUGGGUAACCUGCCUUACACAGGGGGAUAACAGUUAGAAAUGACUGCUAAUACCGCAUAACCCGCUAGUACCGCAUGGUACAGACGGAAAAGAUUUAUCGGUGUAAGAUGGACCCGCGUCUGAUUAGCUAGUUGGUGGGGUAAAGGCCUACCAAGGCGACGAUCAGUAGCCGACUUGAGAGAGUGACCGGCCACAUUGGGACUGAGACACGGCCCAA
rnacentral:rRNA from 1 species